CGUGGUCUCGACUCUGCCGGUCAAUCCCGAUCGCCACGCUCGCCCGCCUCCUCCUGGUCGCCCCGCUCGCCACGCUCGCCCGCCUCCUCCUGGUCGCCCCGCUCGCCCGCCUCGCCCUGCUCGCCCGCCUCCCCCCGGUACCCGCAGGCGAACGCGACGCAGGCGCUGGUCCUCGUCGACCGGAGCAACUUGGGCAUCAGCGGCGCCGCGCUGGUCAGGUACCCGGAGGACCCGUACGACCACGUGUGGAUCCCAUGGAGCGAGAUCGACUCGAAUGAGUGGGCGGAGAUCUCGACGCCGGAGAAGGUGAAGGAGCUGGCGGACCUCCGCUUCAACGCGCCGUCCGCCGUGAUGCAGACCGCCAUCGCGCCGCGCAACGGCUCCAGGUCGGCGUCAUCAAGGACCAUCCAGCUGUCGUGGGACGCGGCGCCGAACCACGCCUACCCGGACCCCGAGGUCAUCGGCAUCGUGUACUUCGCGGAGGUGGAGGUCGUGGCCGGGGGCGCCGCGCGCCAGUUCGAGAUGGCCAUCAACGGCAAGCUCUGGAGCAAGGCCCCCUUCACGCCGCAGCACCUCAUCUGCGACGCCUUCUUCAACAGCGAGGCCCACCGGGGGUUCGGCGGCCACUACAACAUCACCCUCAAGGCGACGGCAAACUCCACGCUGCUGCCGACCAUCAACGCCGCCGAGUUCUUCUCCGUCGUUUCCACGGCCAACGUCGCAACGGACACCAAGGAUGUUGUGGCCAUGGCUGCGAUCAAGGCAAAGUAUGAGGUGAAGAAGAACUGGGCGGGUGACCCAUGCACUCCCAAGACUCUCGUUUGGGAAGGGUUGAACUGCAGCUAUGCCAUGUCCAUGCCUCCCAGAAUCACAAGAUUAAAUAUUUCAUUUGGCGGUUUGAGAGGUAGCAUACAAUCUCAUUUCGCCAACCUCAAAGCAAUCAAGUAUUUGGACUUGUCAUACAACAACUUUACAGGAUCAAUUCCUAAUGCUCUUUCUGAACUACCAUUCCUCGUGCCGCUUUAAGGAAUCUUGAACUCCACAAUUACAUUAGAUUUGACUGGCAACCAGCUUAAUGGGUCCAUCCCCUCCGGGCUUAUGAAGAGAAUACAAGAUGGCUCCCUAACUCUAAGAUACGGCAAAAAUCCAAACCUUUGCAGCAACGGUUCCUCUUGCGAGCCCACCAAAAAGAAGAGCAAACUUAUGCUUGCCGUGUACAUUGUUGUUCCAAUACUUGCAGUUGUGGUGAUAGGAGCACUCGCAAUGCUACUUCUUCUCAUAUUGAGAAAAAAGCAAGGAUCAAGAAAGGGCAGUGUGAAGCCACAGAACGAGGCCAGUGGCGUGCAUUUGCAGUGGCGGAACGGCGACACUCACAGCAUGCUGCAGCUGGACCACCGUCGGUGCACGUACAAGGACCUGCAGGUCAUGACGAACAACUUCAAGACGGUGCUCGGCCGGGGAGGAUUCGGCUCCGUGUACGACGGCUUCUUGGCGGAUGGCACGCAGGUAGCAGUCAAGCUGCGGUCUGAGUCCUCCAGUCAAGGCAUUAUAGAGUUCCUCACAGAGGCUCAGACCUUGACAAAGAUUCACCAUAAAAAUCUUGUGUCAAUGGUUGGUUACUGCAAGGAUGGGGAGUACAUGGCGCUUGUCUACGAGCAUAUGUCUGAAGGAAAUCUGGAGGACAAACUCAGAGGACAAAGCGGGCAUACAUCAGGAAUAAAUUCAGCUUAGGUAAGAGUAUCAAGAGGAUGAACUCGCUUGACGGCUUGUACUGCAUGUUCCCUACACAUGGCGAGACCCCACCGAUGCGAUGAAUGGUGUCUAACCUGUAGAAAUAGUCCCCACAAAAUCAAGAGGGUGGGUGGAUACAAAUCAUUGUCCAACAUUCAUCUCCCUGUUAACUGUUUUAGUCUGAAUUAUGAUGCUACUGUACUAUAUAUCAUUCAUUCAGAUUCAAACUUCCUGCGAUUGCAUACACUGAUUGUAUAUACAUUGUGUUAAUUAAUUAGUGACACCAUCAGCUGCUUCA